rnacentral:rRNA from 1 species
CCUACGGGUGGCAGCAGUGGGGAAUAUUGCACAAUGGGGGAAACCCUGAUGCAGCGACGCCGCGUGGGUGACGAAGUAUUUCGGUAUGUAAAGCCCUAUCAGCAGGGAAGAAGAUGACAGUACCUGACCAAGAAGCCCCGGCUAACUACGUGCCAGCAGCCGCGGUAAUACGUAGGGGGCAAGCGUUAUCCGGAUUUACUGGGUGUAAAGGGAGCGUAGGUGGCAGGGCAAGCCAGAAGUGAAAACCCGGGGCUUAACCCCGCGGAUUGCGUUGGGAACUGUCAGGCUGGAGUGCAGGAGGGGCAGGCGGAAUUCCUGGUGUAGCGGUGAAAUGCGUAGAUAUCAGGAGGAACACCGGUGGCGAAGGCGGCCUGCUGGACUGUAACUGACGCUGAGGCUCGAAAGCGUGGGGAGCAAACAGGAUUAGAUACCCCUGUAGUC